UACAGAGGUCUCAAGCGUUGUUCGGAUUUAUUGGGCGUAAAGGGCGCGUAGGCGGCGGGGUAAGUCGGGUGUGAAAUCUCAGGGCUCAACCCUGAAACUGCACUUGAUACUGCUCUGCUUGAGGACUGGAGAGGAGACUGGAAUUCACGGUGUAGCAGUGAAAUGCAUAGAUAUCGUGAGGAAGACCAGUGGCGAAGGCGGGUCUCUGGACAGUUCCUGACGCUGAGGCGCGAAGGCCAGGGGAGCAAACGGG
rnacentral:rRNA from 1 species